GAUUGGUGAACCAGCGGAGGGAUCAUUGCUGGAACGCGCCCCAGGCGCACCCAGAAACCCUUUGUGAACUUAUACCUUACUGUUGCCUCGGCGCAUGCCGGCCCCCCUGGGGGCCCCUCCUUCUGGAGGAGCAGGCACGCCGGCGGCCAACCUAACUCUUGUUUUUACACUGAAACUCUGAGAAUAAAACAUAAAUGAAUCAAAACUUUCAACAACGGAUCUCUUGGUUCUGGCAUCGAUGAAGAACGCAGCGAAAUGCGAUAAGUAAUGUGAAUUGCAGAAUUCAGUGAAUCAUCGAAUCUUUGAACGCACAUUGCGCCCUCUGGUAUUCCGGAGGGCAUGCCUGUUCGAGCGUCAUUUCAACCCUCAAGCCUGGCUUGGUGAUGGGGCACUGCCUGUAAAAGGGCAGGCCCUGAAAUUCAGUGGCGAGCUCGCCAGGACCCCGAGCGCAGUAGUUAAACCCUCGCUCUGGAAGGCCCUGGCGGUGCCCUGCCGUUAAACCCCCAACUUCUGAAAAUUUGAC
rnacentral:rRNA from 1 species